rnacentral:rRNA from 1 species
CCUACGGGAGGCAGCAGUGAGGAAUAUUGGUCAAUGGACGAGAGUCUGACCCAGCCAAGUAGCGUGAAGGAUGACUGCCCUAUGGGUUGUAAACUUCUUUUAUAAAGGAAUAAAACGAGGCAAGUGUGCCUUUUUGCAUGUACUUUAUGAAUAAGGAUCGGCUAACUCCGUGCCAGCAGCCGCGGUAAUACGGAGGAUCCGAGCGUUAUCCGGAAUUAUUGGGUUUAAAGGGAGCGUAGAUGGGUUGUUAAGUCAGUUGUGAAAGUUUGCGGCUCAACCGUAAAAUUGCAAUUGAUACUGGCAGUCUUGAGUACAGUUGAGGUAGGCGGAAUUCGUGGUGUAGCGGUGAAAUGCUUAGAUAUCACGAAGAACCCCGAUUGCGAAGGCAGCUUACUAAACUGUGACUGACAUUGAUGCUCGAAAGUGUGGGUAUCAAACAGGAUUAGAUACCCGAGUAGUC